rnacentral:sRNA from 1 species
GAACACCACCCAGUGUGGAGAAGCCCAGCCAAGCACUGUCAGGAAUCCUGUGAAGCAGCUCCAGCUAUGUGUGAAGAAGAGGACAGCACUGCCUUGGUGUGUGACAAUGGUUCUGGGCUCUGUAAGGCCGGCUUUGCUGGGGAUGAUGCUCCCAGGGCUGUUUUCCCAUCCAUCGUGGGACGUCCCAGACAUCAGGGGGUGAUGGUGGGAAUGGGACAAAAAGACAGCUAUGUGGGUGACGAAGCACAGAGCAAAAGAGGAAUCCUGACCCUGAAGUACCCAAUAGAACACGGCAUCAUCACCAACUGGGACGACAUGGAAAAGGUAUGGGAGGUUUGCUGCAGCUUGGGCCCUCAGGAUGCAUAAUCCCUGUGUUCUCUGAUAAGGAACACCACACUACUGCUGCGGAAAUAACUGGCUCACAUUGCUCAACUGUACUUUUACUUGUUAAUGUUCAUUCUGGCUUAUUACCCAUUGAAAAAAAAAAUCCUUGCAGCCAUAAAAAGUGAUGAGUUCAUGUCCUUUGUAGGGACAUGGAUGAAGCUGGAAACCAUCAUUCUCAGCAAACUAUUGCAAGGAUAAAAAACCAAACACCGCAUGUUCUCACUCAUAGGUGGGAAUUGAACAACGAGAACACAUGGACACAGGAAGGAGAACAUCACACACCGGGGACUGUUGUGGGGUGUGCGGAGGGUGGAGGGAUAGCAUUAGGAGAUAUACCUAAUGCUAAAUGACGAGUUAAUGGGUGCAGCACACCAACAUGGC